GGGGCCCUCAACAUCCCAGACCACCAUGCCCAUCUCUUCCUUGUCUUUGUUGCUGGACCUUCUUCAGCAUUGCUGAGAAUGUGAGGAUGGUCUCAGUACAUCAGUGAGAAGCAGCCACUGAUCUGGAGUGCAGGAUUGAGAUCAGUCUGGCCUCAUACUGUCAAUGGAGCUUCUGCUUCGGCCUCCAUCAUGCUGUGCGAUUAGAGAGAAGAAGAGCCACCGUGUUUGGCUGAAAAACCACCUUUCAGCUCUAGCAUUAACAGAUUCUAAACACAGAGCAAGUAUACUCAGGUGAAACCU